rnacentral:rRNA from 1 species
CAGUCGAACGCCCCGCAAGGGGAGUGGCGNACGGGUGAGUAACGCGUGGGAACGUACCCUUAGGUUCGGAACAACGUCUGGAAACGGACGCUAAUACCGGAUAAUAUCUACGGAUCAAAGAUUUGUCGCCUAGGGAUCGGCCCGCGUUGGAUUAGCUAGUUGGUGAGGUAAUGGCUCACCAAGGCUACGAUCCAUAGCUGGUCUGAGAGGAUGACCAGCCACACUGGGACUGAGACACGGCCCAGACUCCUACGGGAGGCAGCAGUAAGGAAUAUUAGACAAUGGAGGAAACUCUGAUCCAGCCAUGCCGCGUGUGUGAUGAAGGCCUUCGGGUUGUAAAACACUUUUAGAUGUGACGAUGAUGACGGUAACAUCAGAAAAAGCUCCGGCUAACUUCGUGCCAGCAGCCGCG